UCAUUUUCUUAGACUUUCUGCAGAAAGAUUUAAAAUUUAACAGCCAGGAAAUGAUGGAACAUGAAUGCAACAUGCUAUGAUUCGAUAGUUGUUAGAAGUGAAUAACUCAAGUUAAAUGGCUGUUUUUAGAGUUAGAUUGACUUGCUAAGCAAGUCAGUCUCCAACCCAGUUGACACCCAGAAAAUAAAGAAUAAGAAAAGAAACCAGGAAAAGGGCAAACCAGAAAC
rnacentral:lncRNA from 1 species